UCUCCGUUGGUGAACCAGCGGAGGGCUCAUUACCGAGUUUACAACUCCCAAACCCAAUGUGAACCAUACCAAACUGUUGCCUCGGCGGGGUCACGCCCCGGGUGCGUCGCAGCCCCGGAACCAGGCGCCCGCCGGAGGGACCAACCAAACUCUUUCUGUAGUCCCCUCGCGGACGUUAUUUUUACAGCUCUGAGCAAAAAUUCAAAAUGAAUCAAAACUUUCAACAACGGAUCUCUUGGUUCUG
rnacentral:misc_RNA from 1 species